rnacentral:rRNA from 1 species
GAUGAACGCUGGCGGCGUGCCUAAUACAUGCAAGUCGAGCGAACAGACGAGGAGCUUGCUCCUCUGACGUUAGCGGCGGACGGGUGAGUAACGCGUGGAUAACCUACCCAUAAGACUGGGAUAACUUCGGGAAACCGGAGCUAAUACCGGAUAAUAUAUUGAACCGCAUGGUUCAAUAGUGAAAGACGGUUUUGCUGUCACUUAUAGAUGGAUCCGCGCCGCAUUAGCUAGUUGGUAAGGUAACGGCUUACCAAGGCAACGAUGCGUAGCCGACCUGAGAGGUGGACCGGCCACACGGGACCUGAGACACGUCCCAGACCCCUAGGGGAGGCAGCAGUAGGAAUCUUCCGCAAUGGGCGAAAGCUUGACGGAGCAACGCCGCGUGAGUGAUGAAGGUCUUCGGAUCGUAAAACUCUGUUAUUAGGGAAGAACAAAUGUGUAAGUAACUAUGCACGUCUUGACGGUACCUAAUCAGAAAGCCACGGCUAACUACGUG